GACGAACGCUGGCGGCGCGCCUCAUACAUGCAAGUCGAACGAGAAGCCCGGGCUUGCCCGGGUGGAGAGUGGCGAACGGGUGAGGAACACGUGAGGAACCUGCCCCGAAGACUGGGAUAACACCGGGAAACCGGUGCUAAUACCGGAUGCCCUCACCGGACCGCAUGCUCCGGUGAGGAAAUGGAUUCCGCUUCGGGAUGGCCUCGCGGCCUAUCAGCUUGUUGGUGGGGUAAUGGCCCACCAAGGCUUCGACGGGUAGCUGGUCUGAGAGGAUGUCCAGCCACACUGGGACUGAGACACGGCCCAGACUCCUACGGGAGGCAGCAGUAGGGAAUCUUGCGCAAUGAGCGAAAGCUUGACGCAGCGACGCCGCGUGCGGGAUGAAGGCCCUCGGGUCGUAAACCGCUUUCAGCAGGGACGAAACUGACGGUACCUGCAGAAGAAGGCCCGGCCAACUACGUGCCAGCCGCCGCCGUAACAC
rnacentral:rRNA from 1 species